GUGGCUUCUCUCUACUUCUCAGACUACUCACCCUUUUGUUCUCCUCUUUUUUAACUGUAUAUAUAGAUAUUUUAUUUUUAUUUUGCCAAAUAUUAAGCUCGAAAAAUUAUCAGACACUACUCUAGAUUUCCGUACGCAAAAGACUAAGUUAUGCCAAAGAAAGUGCGAAAUACUCGUCGACUGUGUAAUGCGCUGCACAGGUGGAACUCGACGACAGCCAAGGGUUGCGACUUGAGAUUCGCAGUACGACAUUUCUUGGGAAAAUAGACGCCAAAAAAUACACUGCUGUCCAAAUGAAGACAUUGAAUUUUCAUGCACCGAAUUUGUAUAUUUAUGGCAAAAGUGCUUGCACGUGCAUACACUUCACCAGCUCACUGCCUAACGUACAAGUGGAGCAAGAGGGUGGAUCGAGUUCGGGAGAGAUACUAGGUGGGCAAACAACACGAGAUAAUAAUGGGUUAGAGAAGUAUAAAAUAACACUCAUGAAAUAUUAUCAUUGAGGUAGAAAAAAAUU